UCUUAGGUUAGAAAACUAUCCACUGUUUAAAAUGAGCUAGCAGAGACUUGUCCAGGGUUGUUGAGGGCAGCACGGCAGGACGGAGCCUGAUGCCUGGACCGGGCGGGGAUGCCGCCGGAGGCGGGCCCCUUAGGCAUGCUGCAGACGCUUCCUAACUACUUCCGGUGUCCCUGGCAGCGGCCAAGGUAACCUUGUGGCUGCUCCGCUGUUUGCCGGCUCCUUCAUCAGCACCAUCAGUCUGGGCUUCCGCACCGACUUCACGGCUCCCUCUUCCACGCCUUCGCGUUGGUGCUCAAACAGAACUCCAUCUUCAGCUUCCUGGCUGUUCCCGACGGCCUAGCUGUGCGCGUCCCACUCAGGUAUUCGAGUUUGGGGUCUUUGGGGCAUGAGAAAGAGGAGUCGUUUCUGCCGUUGGGGCCCGUGCCUUCGGCAUUAAACUGACCCCGUUUCUGAGGUGAAAGAGGAGACCGUGUCGUCAACAAUGGCACAGAGCUCUGGGGUGGGACCACAAAUGAAAGCUGUUACCCUGUGAAGUGUCUUUUUGAGGAUGAGGUUCCCGUUAUUUAUAUAAAGUCUGUCCAAUAGACAAUGAGUUGCAAAUAUAACUCUGUGUGUGAAGAAUAAUAAUGGAAAAACUACAAGGAGAAAAACUGUCUGUUCUCACUGGCGGAUUCCUUACUAUUGAACUGCUGGGAAAGCCCUGUAAACACAUAGGCAUUGUCUUAAACCGUAUAAUAUAGAUGCAAGACACAAAUUUUCUGCAGAAUGAUCUGUUUAAACAACUCUAGUUCUACAAAUUUAUGGAAGCAAGGAGUGAGGUAUGCAAAGUAUGUGAUUGUAGCAAUAGGGUUAUUUAUCAUAGUGUAAUUUUAGAACAAA